GACGAACGCUGGCGGCGUGCUUAACACAUGCAAGUCGAACGGAAAGGCCCUGCUUUUGUGGGGUGCUCGAGUGGCGAACGGGUGAGUAACACGUGAGUAACCUGCCCUUGACUUUGGGAUAACUUCAGGAAACUGGGGCUAAUACCGGAUAGGAGCUCCUGCUGCAUGGUGGGGGUUGGAAAGUUUCGGCGGUUGGGGAUGGACUCGCGGCUUAUCAGCUUGUUGGUGGGGUAGUGGCUUACCAAGGCUUUGACGGGUAGCCGGCCUGAGAGGGUGACCGGCCACAUUGGGACUGAGAUACGGCCCAGACUCCUACGGGAGGCAGCAAUGGGGAAUAUUGCACAAUGGGCGGAAGCCUGAUGCAGCAACGCCGCGUGCGGGAUGACGGCCUUCGGGUUGUAAACCGCUUUCGCCUGUGACGAAGCGUGAGUGACGGUAAUGGGUAAAGAAGCACCGGCCAACUACGUG
rnacentral:rRNA from 1 species